rnacentral:rRNA from 1 species
UACGAAGGGGGCUAGCGUUGCUCGGAAUCACUGGGCGUAAAGGGUGCGUAGGCGGGUUAUUAAGUCAGAGGUGAAAUCCUGGAGCUCAACUCCAGAACUGCCUUUGAUACUGAUAGUCUUGAGUAUGGGAGAGGUGAGUGGAACUGCGAGUGUAGAGGUGAAAUUCGUAGAUAUUCGCAAGAACACCAGUGGCGAAGGCGGCUCACUGGCCCGUAACUGACGCUGAGGUGCGAAAGCGUGGGGAGCAAACAGG